CCUACGGGCGGCAGUGGGGAAUAUUGGACAAUGGGCGAAAGCCUGAUCCAGCCAUGCCGCGUGUGUGAAGAAGGCCUUCGGGUUGUAAAGCACUUUCAGUGGGGAAGAAAGCCUUGGGGCUAAUACCCUCGAGGAAGGACAUCACCCACAGAAGAAGCACCGGCUAACUCCGUGCCAGCAGCCGCGGUAAUACGGAGGGUGCGAGCGUUAAUCGGAAUUACUGGGCGUAAAGCGCGCGUAGGCGGUCUGAUAAGCCGGUUGUGAAAGCCCCGGGCUCAACCUGGGAACGGCAUCCGGAACUGUCAGGCUAGAGUGCAGGAGAGGAAGGUAGAAUUCCCGGUGUAGCGGUGAAAUGCGUAGAGAUCGGGAGGAAUACCAGUGGCGAAGGCGGCCUUCUGGACUGACACUGACGCUGAGGUGCGAAAGCGUGGGUAGCAAACAGGAUUAGAUACCCGAGUAGUC
rnacentral:rRNA from 1 species